AUUGAACGCUGGCGGCAGGCCUAACACAUGCAAGUCGAACGAGUGGCGGACGGGUGAGUAAUGUCUGGGAAACUGCCUGAUGGAGGGGGAUAACUACUGGAAACGGUAGCUAAUACCGCAUACCAUCAGAUGUGCCCAGAUGGGCUGAGCUUGUUGGUGGGGUAAAGGAUCACCAAGGCGACGAUCACUAGCUGGUCUGAGAGGAUGACCGGCGACACUGAAACUGAUACACGGUCCAGACUCCGACGGGAGGCAGCAGUGGGGAAGAUUGCACAAGGGGCGCAAGCCGGAUGCAGCCAUGCCGCGUGUAUGAAGAAGGCCUUCGGGUUGUAAAGUACGUUCAGAGGGGAGGCGUUACCCGCAGAAGAAGCACCGGCUAACUCCGUGCCAGCAGCCGCGGUAAUUC
rnacentral:rRNA from 1 species